GAACCGAAAGGGCAAAUCUUGAGCAAUCAAGAGACGCAAAGUUCCAGUCCGCCACGAUUUUUGGCGGAGGCUGAACUGCCGAU
rfam:Candidatus Firestonebacteria bacterium RIFOXYA2_FTLL_40_8 rifoxya2_full_scaffold_3277, whole genome shotgun sequence.